rnacentral:tRNA from 1 species
ACUUUUAAAGGACAGAAGUAAUCCACUGGUUUUAGGAACCAUCCACCUUGGUGCAAUUCCAAGUAAAAGUA